CCUACGGGUGGCAGCAGUGAGGAAUAUUGGUCAAUGGGCGCGAGCCUGAACCAGCCAAGUAGCGUGAGGGAUGACUGCCCUACGGGUUGUAAACUUCUUUUGUCAGGGAAUAAAGUGAGGCACGUGUGCCUUUAUGUAUGUACUUUAAGAAUAAGGAUCGGCUAACUCCGUGCCAGCAGCCGCGGUAAUACGGAGGAUUCGAGCGUUAUCCGGAUUUAUUGGGUUUAAAGGGAGCGGAGGUGGGUUGUUAAGUCAGUUGUGAAAGGCUGGGGCUCAACCGCGGGACUGCAAUUGAUACUGGCAGUCUCGAGUUCAGGAGAGGUAUGCGGAAUGCGUGGUGUAGCGGUGAAAUGCAUAGAUAUCACGAAGAACUCCGAUUGCGAAGGCAGCCUGCUGGACUGCCACUGACGUUGAGGCACGAAAGCGUGGGUAUCAAACAGGAUUAGAUACCCUAGUAGUC
rnacentral:rRNA from 1 species